UAGGACUCUUGACAAUGGAUAUCUUGGCUCUCGCAUCGAUGAAGAGCGCAGCAAAAUGUGAUAUGUGGUGUGAAUUGCGGAAUCCUGUGAACCGUCGAGUCUUUGAACGCAAGUUGCGCCUGAGGCUAGCUGGCUAAGGGCACGUCCGCUUGGGCG
rnacentral:rRNA from 1 species